GAUCCACCUGUCUCUACCUCUAGAGUGCUGGGAUUAAAGGCAUAUGCCACCGCCGCCACCCGGUGCAGGCAAGUUGUUAUCCUUUCUACGUUUCAGAUGAGAACGCUGAGGCCCAGAGAGGCUGAGUGUUUUAGCAAUGCAUGCUGGUAUAUCAGUCAGCCACUGCCACAGAACUGUGUACCUUAGGGUGCAAACAGUAGACCUCUGUUUCUCAAAGUCUGUGGGUGUGCUGGGAUGGCCAGCUGGGACGUAGUCUUUCUCCAUCAGUGGCCCCUCCGCUUUGCACCCGCCAUCUUCCAGCUCAUGGGGACGCAUCGCUGCAUUUUCAGCUAAGGCUUUGGCUUGUCAGAAGAAAUGACCACAGACCUGUGCAUAUCAGCACACAGCACUACCUGGUUCAUGCAGACGGGUCUUCCAGGACGGAGUCGAGUCAAAACCACACUGAACCUUUGAAUCAAUGUCAACGUAGCUGCGUCUUGGUUUUCAGACACCAAAGUCUACAGAUGAGGCUGCCUCACUCCAACCUUACCGCUACUGCUGUUUUCAGACCCUGUGCCUGCCUCUCUCCAACACCAGAAACACUAAAUCCAGCUGCCCGAGGAACUACUUCACACUGCGAUGUGCCAAGACUCUUUCUGAAGGCAUGACUUGUUGCCAUGGCGGCAUGCACACAACGGUAGCCCGGGGUCCCACUCUAUGACUUUACUGUGUGGACCAAACCAGAGUCUGGUAAGAGGGCCCUGGGCAUGUGGCCUACAUAUGAUGCACAAAUGCUCAUAUCCACACCCGUGCCCCAUCUCUUGUAAGCUCAGCUACACGUUAGCCCUUAGGAGUUAGACCGAGGCUUCGGAGUCAUGUGGACUUGGUUUUGAAGCCUAGCCUCACACUUAUGAGUGGUGGGACUCUAGAUGAGGAAUAUAACUGCUCUCAUCCUUGGCACCGUCGUGUGCUUAUGGAACCUACUUCACAGGGCUCUCAUGGGAUGUGCACAGCUUGUGGUACCCAGAUAAUGCUUUCACCACAAAUGUCUUUGACAAGGUCAGUGUCUGAAACUAGGAUAAUGAGCUUGUCUCCUGGGACCAGUUUGACUUACCAUUCAGCCAAGUUCACACAGUUCCCAGAUGGACAGAGGAUAAAGCCAAUGUAUUGAAUGGAUAGGUAGAUGAGUGAGUAGGUGAUGGAUGGAUGGAUGGAUGGAUGGAUGGAUGGAUGGAUGGGUGGGUCGUGGGUAGGUCAUGGGUAGCUGAAUGAAUGGAUAUAUGAGUAGAUAGAAAGAUGGUGAACUGGUUGGGUUCUUUUGUCAACUUGACACAGAUAGUUAUCUGGGGAGAGGAAUCUCAGUUGAGAAAAUGCCUCUACCGGAUGGCCAUAGGCAAGCCUGCAGGGCAUUUUCUAGAUUAUGACUGAUGUGGGAGGGUCCAGCCCACCUGCAGUACCACCUCCGAGAAGGUGGUCCUGAGUUAUAUACGGAAACAAGCAAAGCAAGCCAUGGGGAGCAAGCCAGUAAGCAGUGUCCUCCAUGGCUCCUGCUUCAGUUCCAGCCUCCAGUGCCUGCCCUGACUUCCCUCGGUG